GGCGCGGAUACGUGGCGGCAGUGGGGGCCCCUCGCUAUAACUGGCGCGACUGGGCGGCGGGAGGCGCGACGUCGCCGCCGUGGCAAAGGCGAGGGCCGAGGGGUGGAAAAGAGCGUGGUAAGAGGGGAGAGAAACUGAAGCGACCGGGGCUGAGGUUUUUGCUCCCAAUCCCCCCCUCUCGCCUGGACUCCGCCGCCGCAUCCCCCCAUCCCUCCUCCGCCCAAACCCUUCUUCUCGCCGCAGCAGCAGCAGCGUUGCAUCCAUCCGGAUGGCCAGCGCCGGCGGUGGGGUUGGGGCGACGGACGAGAUCCCGGAGGUUGAAAGGGAGGUCGUGGAGCGCGCGCCGGAGGAGCCGGGGCGGGUCGGGUCGAAGAGGGUCAGGGAUUCGCCCAGCGCCCUGGGUUCCCACGGUUUUUAUGGAGUGACUACUGCCGAGAAGAAACCAAUGCUGCAGCCUCAUAAUGUUGAUAAAAGUUUGAGCAAAGCUGGCAACAGUAACCUUCUGCACAUGAAUUCUGAUGGUGCUUCUAAAGUGGGGGGUCGAUACCUGCAUGGUACAGAUGGCUUGGGGACUCCAGAUUCUAGUGCUUUGAGAUUGAAUAUCUUAUCUCCUGGUGAAAACCUGGAGAAUGAAACCAAAUGGGCCACCAAAAUAUGUACCUUUUACACUCAAGGUUGGUGCAAGAAAGGAAACAGUUGUGCCUUUCUUCAUGAAAGAGAGGGUCUGGGUUUCGCAAAAGCUGGUCUGCUUGCACCACCUGGUUUUGAAAAUCAUAGAGGUUCCGAAGAAGGCUCCCAAGGACAACAUCAAUCCAACUUGAAAGUGCCUCAAUUCAAAGAUGCAGAGGGUUCAUCAAAACAUGAGCUGUAUAGGAGCCUUAUUCAUGUGUAUGGUGAAGAUAAUGAGAGGCUGGCACAUAUUGCUGAUAAAAGAAACUCUACAACUCCAGGGAUUUCACAAGGGCUCCAUGGUACUGGCAGUAUCGUGCAGGGUCGAGUAGUUCAUGAGAAGAACCACAAACCUUUCAUGAGACACCAUACUGGUUUGUCACCUGAAACCUAUUUGGAUGGCAGAGGUAUCUUGCUAGAUGGAGGGAACUUUCAAUCUGGUAUGGACAGGAGAAACGGUCUCAGUAAUGCCCAUGUCGCAAGAACUUUUCUUGACGCGAACACCUUAAAUUCAGGCCAUCAGUUUCAAUCAUGUGGCCUAUCUAUUUCAUCUGAUCCUUUCCAACUCAGUGAGAAGUUGUCAGCUUAUGGUGCAACAACAGAGAAUCUUCCUAACACACAUCAGAAAGAACAUUCAAGCCAUGCCUCAUAUAGUUCACGUAGCUUAACAGGAUUUAGGAAUCCAGGCUAUGCUAUCCCUGAAAUUUCUUUAGGUAGCCCAACUCUACAAACAACUUCUCAGCUAGGCGUGCAGUUCCAUCAUCUGUUCACAACUGGUACUGAGAAGGUUAAUCUCCAUACAUAUAUUGAUGCUGACAAGGGCUGUGGUACUUCUAGACCUGCAUUACUCUCAAGCAGUUCAUCCGAACCUUAUAUUAUGUCAGCUGGACCCCUUUCUCCAAUCAAGGAUGAGGUCUGGGAAACGUCAGUGCCUUUUGUACCUUCUUUUAGUUUUCCGGAUAGUACAACACCCCCAGGGAGUCAGUAUGACCCAUUCGUUGACUAUAUUGAACCUCCUAAAGUUGGAGAUACGGAUAAUCUGAAGUCCUCCUAUGUGUCCUUCAGUACUUCAAGUCAGCAUACAAAUCAGUAUGUAAUUACUGAUGAAUCACUGAAUCGCGAUGACGAGCUAACCAGGAAUAUUCAUGCCAAAGGAGCAAAUGGACCUGCAUACUUGAUUUCAUCUGAUAGAGGACACAGCUCUAGCCUGGAUGAUAAUAAUAGGGUGAAAUCUUGUGAAAGAAAAAUCGGUGCAGCUAAUAACGAUGAGAAAGCAAGAGACUUCCGUUUUCAUUUGGCAGAACAUAUAAAGGAGUUGAUCAAACCAAUAUGGAAGGCAGGUAAUCUGAGUAAAGAUGCUCAUAAAUUGGUAGUCAAAAAAUCUGUUGGAAAAAUUGUUGAUUCGAUUGGGCCAAAUCAAAUACCAACUACUGAAGAGUUGAUUGCCAAAUAUAUUACCACCUCUGGAUCAAAGAUAGAAAAACUUGUGAAGGCGUAUGUCGAUAAGCAUCGUACAACGUGAUAUCCAAGCUUCUCAAUGUUGAGUUACAGCGCUACUGAGAUUGGAGCUUGGACUUGAUGCUGAUGGGAGCUUGAGCCUUAUGUCCCACCAGUCUGGUUAACCUACAUUUGUAGGUGCAAGAAGUUCUUAUUGGGGAAAAAAAUGAGCAUGCUUCAGUUGACCCAGAUGCAAAAGCCACCCCCAAAAAGGAAAAACUCGGGCGAGCUGCUAGAGCAAACAAGAGCGAUUGAUACAAAGUGAUGUUAUUUUGUCAUUGUGAUUGAGCUACACUGAUGAUAGAGGUGCUGACUCUGGGUCUCUGGUAAAUGCCUUAGCAGCAUAUGUUGCUCGCUGAAUCGAAAGGUUGGAAUUCUACUAUUAUUUCAAUCCUUUUUGAGCCCAUGACUUUAUUUAGUAAUUUAAUCAGCUUGUGGCCUGGUGGAAAGUCAGGUUUAAUUACUGGCGGUGGUAAUUUCGCUUUCCGCACUUGGAAAUAUUUUAUUAUGUUACCCUUGCUGCAUUUAUCUUUCUCCUUUUCCCUGUGGAAUCUUGAACCAUGUUAUGCAAUUUGCGACCUUUUAUAGUAAUAGCCUACAGAACCCUGUAGGCGGUACCUUAUUUCAUGUGUUAUUUCAUUCUUUCUUUAUAGGAUUAUUGUGUUCUACUUAGCCUAUAUUCUACAUUCUAGUUUUCUGGAGCUAACAUUGGUAACGCUAUCCACUGUGUUUUGACAUCACCUCAUCAUUCAUCAAGAACUCAAGUGUUCCUCCAAGAGAUUGAAACCGAGGCGCAAUUAGCCAACUGCGGAUUGGAGCCGGCAGUAAAGAACUAGGUAGUCUCUGGCAGAUUUAGGGCCAUCCUCUCUUUUGGUCAUUUGCUUUACUCGGCUGUUUUGAGUUUGUCGGGUUUGUUUUGCCUUAGGGGGGUUUGGACUUGGACCCCUUUUUCCUCAAUCAUGAAUACAAAGACGUGCAUCUCUCCUGCGUUGUCUGGAAAAGAACUAAAAAGGAGAGGGAGGGGGGGGGGGGGGGGGGGGGGGGGGGAGUUCUAGUUACCGAAUCACCCAAUGCUUCCCGUGAGAGUUAGCUGAUUCCGUAUUCUUUUGAUGAGGUUUAUAUUGUCUGCAGUGAGCAAGGGGCUUCCUGCUACAGUACAGGUUUUAAGAUGGUACUUGUGAUGCGCCACAUUUCCAUUGGCACAACAGAUGGUAUAAUCUAGUGCUGAAAUUAUGUGGCUAGAAAUAGUUAUGUGAGAUUAAAAUGGACCAAAUUGGCUAUACAUCCCCUGUGAUCCUUAAAUGUAUACUUUGUGUAUUUCCUUCUGUUAGAAGAGGUUUUUUCCUCAAAAGUUCGUACUGUAAUUAUUGUGUUAAUGGUAUGGGAUAUUUCAUUACCACUAUCUAUCAAGCCAAUCAAGUUGGUUUGAAUGAGUAGACUGUAAUACUACUGGACAGCUCCUUAUGUUGUAUCAAACUGGCACUGCAAACGGAAUGCAGCAUCAACAUGCUACCUUCAGGGGGCAGGGUAGCCCUUUUCAUUCCA